rnacentral:rRNA from 1 species
UACGAAGGGGGCUAGCGUUGCUCGGAAUUACUGGGCGUAAAGCGCACGUAGGCGGCUCUUUAAGUCGGAGGUGAAAUCCUGGAGCUCAACUCCAGAACUGCCUUCGAUACUGGCGAUCUUGAGUCCGGGAGAGGUGAGUGGAACUCCGAGUGUAGAGGUGAAAUUCGUAGAUAUUCGGAAGAACACCAGUGGCGAAGGCGGCUCACUGGCCCGGUACUGACGCUGAGGUGCGAAAGCGUGGGGAGCAAACAGG